rnacentral:lncRNA from 10 species
ACCAUCUCAUGCCAGUUAGAAUGGCAACCAUUAAAAAGUCAGGAAACAACAGAUGUUUUAUUUUAUUUUUUGUUCUAUUCAUGAGACUGAUUUAAAAUAAGUGGCAAACCACAUUCAUGAUAUGUCAGGGCCCUUAUACAGCUGUGCGCUGGCCGAGUAUUUAUGCUAGGGAUAUUUUAUUUAGAGGAAUUAUUUUCUGAUGUAUGUUAAUAGUCCCUGAAAAAGCAUGGAUAUUCAGAUAAUUUGAAAGGCAGGAAUUCUUAUAUACAUCUGCCUGUCUUGGCUCCAACUGCACAUACACACACAUAUAUACACACAUGCACAACAUACACAUACACACACGUGCACACACAUACACACACUCACAAAUGCAGGUAGAAAGAAUUCGAAUAAAUGAAACAAAAAAGCCCUU